rnacentral:rRNA from 1 species
GUGGGGAAUAUUGGACAAUGGGCGCAAGCCUGAUCCAGCAAUGCCGCGUGGGUGAAGAAGGUCUUCGGAUCGUAAAGCCCUUUCGACAGGGACGAUGAUGACGGUACCUGUAGAAGAAGCCCCGGCUAACUUCGUGCCAGCAGCCGCGGUAAUACGAAGGGGGCUAGCGUUACUCGGAAUUACUGGGCGUAAAGGGCGCGUAGGCGGCUCUGUUAGUCAGGCGUGAAAUUCCUGGGCUUAACCUGGGGACUGCGCUUGAUACUGCAGGGCUUGAGGCCGAGAGAGGGUGGUGGAAUUCCCAGUGUAGAGGUGAAAUUCGUAGAUAUUGGGAAGAACACCAGUGGCGAAGGCGACUCACUGGCCCAAUACUGACGCUGAGGCGCGAAAGCGUGGGGAGCAAACAGGAUUAGAUACCCCGGUAGUCC